rnacentral:rRNA from 1 species
GAUGAACGCUAGCUACAGGCUUAACACAUGCAAGUCGAGGGACCGGCGCACGGGUGAGUAACACGUACCCAACCUGCCCUUUCCCCGGGGAUAGCCUUUCGACAGAAAGAUUAAUACUCGUUAUAAAGGAUGGGGAUGCGUUCCAUUAGCUUGUUGGUGAGGUAACGGCUCACCAAGCAUUCGAUGGAGAGGGGUUCUGACAGGAAGGAACACCACAAUUGAACUACGACACGGUCCAAAAUCCGAGGGGAGGCAGGGGUGAGUAAUGUUGGUCAAUGGGCGCUGGCCGGAACCAGCCAAGUAAGUUGAAGAAUGAAGGGGUAUUGGUCGUAAGUUUCUUGUAUAUAAGAAUAUGUAUUAUAUGAAUAAGGAUCGGCUAACUCCGUGCCAGCAGCCGCGGUAAUUC